rnacentral:rRNA from 1 species
GACAGAGGCCUCAAGCGUUAGGCGGAAUCACUGGGCGUAAAGGGCGCGUAGGCGGCUUGAUAAGUCGGGGGGUGAAAGCCUGUGGCUCAACCACAGAAUUGCCUUCGAUACUGUCGAGCUUGAGACCGGAAGAGGUAAGUGGAACUGCGAGUGUAGAGGUGAAAUUCGUAGAUAUUCGCAAGAACACCAGUGGCGAAGGCGGCUUACUGGUCCGGUUCUGACGCUGAGGCGCGAAAGCGUGGGGAGCAAACAGG